rnacentral:lncRNA from 1 species
UGUCAUUUUUCCUUUUGCUUAAACACAGCAAUACUCCGGAUCUCCUCCUGUUAGAGGCAGUGAUGCAGCUGUAUCCAGCUUGCUUGUGCUGGGAGCUGACUUUGCCAUCUACCCUCUUCGCUGAUAGAGGUUAUGGCUGAACUGCUUGCCUGCAAGAAACUUCCAAGGCUUAUGAAAAUGCCAGCCUACCUGUGUAGCAACUGAUACAGGGAAUCCAAUGCGGUUGUGGGGAAUCACAGAAAAUAGCUUUCUUCUUGAGGUCUUUCCCAACUGUGCUGGCAUCGUUGAUGUGUGUUGCAUGUCCUCAUUAUCUGUUUGUGUCUCACCAGGCUUGAUUCUUUAUCAAGAGGAAAAGAGAUACAGAUCCUUCUGCCAGUGAGAACCAAGAUGGUCUGAUUUUGAAGAAUGAUAUGACAGACUACUUGUUGCUGUGUUUUGAAUUCGUACAUGAAUAUAAGGUUUGUUAUAAGAUGUUGGGAAGUGUUUUGUGGUGAACACUGGUUGCGGUGUGGACUACAUUUUGAUGUGUCUUUUGUAUGGUUGCUGAUAAUGCUGGGGAGCUACAACUUAUACCCCAAAGGAACUGAAGAUUCCUCUUUAAAAGGUGCAGUGCUGUGAAA